UGUCGCUCUCUCACCCAGGCUGGAGUGCAGUGGCGCUAUCUUGGCUCACUGCAACAUCUGCUUCCCAGGUUCAAGUGAUUAUCCUGCCUCAGCCUCCCAAGUUGCUGGGAUUACAGGCGUGUGCCACCACGCCUGGCUAAUUUACUAAACUAAUAAAUUACUAAAUUAGUAAGUUACUAGUAAAUUAGUAAUUACUAAAAUAUAAUUUUUAGUAGAGAUGGGAUUUCAUCAUGUUGGCCAGGCUGGUCAUGAACUCCUGACCUCAAUGGAUCCUCCUGCCUCAGCUUCCUGAGUAGCUGGGACCACAGGUGCACACCACCACGCCCAGGUAAUUAAUUUUUAUUUUUUGUAGAGUCGGGGGUCUCCCUAUGUUUCCCAGGCUGGCCUCGAACUCCUGACCUCAAGUGAUCCUCCCACCUCAGCCUCCCCGAGUGCUGGGAUUAAAGACGUGAGCCACGGCACCUGGCCUGAAUUUUCCUCAAAUUCAAAAAAUCCUGAUGAAGGUUUGGCUAAAAUCUUUGGUGAGUUACCCCACUCCCUGUGGAACCUCAGGCUGGAUUUGAAGAGUUGCGUGCAUGGUCCUCAUUGUCUCCCAGGUAACCUGUUCCCGCUGCUGUGAAGGGAAGGCAGGUGCUCUUCCUUGAGGCUAGAAUCUGUCUACGUGUCACAGUCUCAGGAAAUUAAGCAAAACAGAUGAUAAACACCUCAAAAGGACCCUACUGAGCAUCAGUGGAGCAGAGCAGGGCCAUGUGGGACUGCGGCGUCAGAUGCCACCUCACACUAGCUGUGACACACCUGCCUCGCCAGUUUCUGCUCUGAGGCCCCAAAGCCGAGCUGAACCUCCUCCAGGGGUUCUCAGCCCUAACUGAGCAUGAAAACCCCUGGGGCAAUCCUCUUUUUAACAAUUGAGACAUUCCACACACACCCCACAUCAGAUUUUGGGGUGUGGGGAUAGACCUUCACAUUUGUAGUUUUCUAACCCUCCAGGGGACACUAGGCUGAGACUCAUUGGUCUCCACUCUGAACCUUCCACUGAACAUGUGAGAAAAACUAAGGCCCAGGGAAGUCUUUAGCAGAGAGCUGAGACGGAGAAAAGGGUUCUGAACCACAGCUGUCUGCUGAAGGAAGCUGUCCAAAGGCCAGUGAAGUCUCUCCUGAGGGUGCCUGGGCUGUGCAUCAGGAGUGAAGGUUGAGGGUCACCUUAGGUGUGAGAAGGAGCAACUGGGAGAGUGGCGCUGAUGCUUCCCCCCGGGUUAGGAGGCAUUUGGAUCACAGAGCGAUGCCUGUUCAUUCCUGCUUGCAAGGGAGCAGAUCUCUCGACACCCGAUGGGCCUCUAUUCCGUUCCGGCAGCUGUCCGUGUCAGGAGCGCUGGGCUUGCUCCUCCCCACGGGAGCCAUCACAGAGGCCUCGGGCAGUCUGCAUAGACAACUGCCUGGCAGGUGACCAGGAGGGGAUGCAUGAGCAGAUGCAGGUAGCACUCGCAGUCCCCCUAGCUGUGCCCUCAGCACCUGCUGUCUAGGAGGCAGAAGCCUUGUUCUCGGCCUUGCAGGUGACCCCAGUGUCUCUGAAUUCGGCCCCAUAUGUGUAGGAGGGGAGUGAUUGCAUCUGAAGAUGGGAGUCUGGUUGGGGGUUUGGGAAGCUCCCAUCACCCCUCAAGAGUCCACUGACCAGCCCAGCUCACACCAGGUGGGCCUUGGCACUGGAGGCCACGGCUCAACUCUGCAGUUCCCUCUGGGCAGCAUUUCCAGGGACUCGUAGGUCAGCAUGGUCAUCAAGGACAGGUGGUGAGAGCAGCUCCUCAUUGUCCUGGUGACCCCGAUGGUUCAUUUUCUGGUGUCUCUGUGGUGAGCUCCUGUUACAUCAAGCGAGUGGAAACCACCGAGGACCAACAGCCCUGGAAAUGCACUGAGAAUGCAGGAUGAGUGGGCUUUGUGAGGACUGUUUUCUGUGACUUAGCAAGGAAAGCCUGGAAGGGAAAGUAAAACUGCUUCUUCCCAGGGAAGCCAGAAACCUGAGAACUUAAAAGGGAAGGAGAACUUAAUAUAUUUCAAAAAUGUAACCCUUGUGAAUUAGCAACAGCUUUAUAAACAAAGAGAUUUCCGAGCUUAUAGAAUCUAUUCUGCUUUGUUUCUGCCCCCAUGGCUCCUACCCCUGUUUUUGUGGGUACAAUUUUCAUAUAGAACAUUUUUACACAAGCUUCAAAACUCUCUGAGGACAGCUUUCCCCUUUGUGUCUGUCGGGUCCCAGGCAGUCACAUCCCAGGAAGUGCUGGGGUUGGGCUCCUUGCUCCACAUCCUUCUUCAGUGGCACGAAGCGUGGGGUGGAGUGUGUGAGUCAUGUGUGAUCUUGGUGUGGGCUAUGGCUGGUCUGCAGCACCCCUUCAAUGACUGCUUCAAGGGCUUUUCAUGAUGCUUGUAGCUCAUGAGCUAGUGUUUCCUAGAUGCUGUUUCCAGGUGUCUUGCAUGUCACACACUGGCCUACCAGGGCUGGAGUGAGAUCAUGAGCGCCAGAUUGUUGGUGAAGGAAGUUGACAGAGACAUCGAAUGUCGGUGAACAGGAGUGACCUUGGGUCUCAAUAAAUACUGUGGUCAACUGAAUCCAGAACCCACCCUUACCAGCAGGGCCCACUUCUUCCCCAGCAGGCCGAGCUCUUCCCCUCCUGUCUUCCCUGGCCCUUGCUUUGUAGCUCUGUGUGGCUGUGUCAUGUCUGGUUGUAUCUGUAUAUACUUCUGCCUCUCCCGCUAUCUAGAUGGCUCGGGGAGGCACACCACACACCAGGUCACCUUCCUCUCUGAACCCCCAGCACCUCAUACUGUUUCUGUGCAGAGAUAAGGCUGGGUGAAAGCUUGUGUGAAUGAUCUGAAGUCUUCUACUCUAGGCCAGUCUCCAGGAGCAUUAUGAUCUUUAGGAGGGUGGGCUUGGUUCCUCUGUACAAUAAUGGGUCAUAAAACUGAGUGGUCAAGAUCAUCCCGGUGAGGGCAGUCCGUGUGUUGCCAUAGUUGCUGUACCGGUUAAGAAUGCACCUGGCUGCAAUUUCCUGAAAACCUGACGUAUAGUGGCUUAAACAAAGAGUGGUUUAUUUUCCUUCUGUCAUAGCAAUCUGGGGGAGGCCACUGUGGCUUUGGCGCAGGAGGUCGGGAAAGGCCCGCUUCUCUGAUAUCAUUGGGGGCCUCCCCAGUGCUUGUGUGGCAGAAUGACAAGAGGAAGAAGAAGGAGAAUUAUGGCACUGAGUAUCAUGAGAUUUGGGGUCAUAUAUCUUUAGUGGGCGGUGUUUGCUGCCCCAAAUGUCUCAUGCCAUUAAAAUGUUCUGGAAAUGAUUUAGGUAGUUGGAGUUUCCUUCCCAAAGACAAGGCAUUUACAGCAUGAUGUCCAAUAUCCAUUGAGUUUGUGUCAUGCAUUCAUUGUAUUCAUAGUCUGCUUUAGGUACUUAGCAAAAUAUUGCUGAUAUUAACAUGCCUUUGUUUGCUUCACUGGAGAUGAAAUUGUGCUCCAAGUGUUUUCCAAGGUUCCGUAUGACCCAUCAUUUGAUGAAACAAGAACAGCAGUCAGAUCCAUUACAAAGAGAGACACACAAAAAAACUAUGUGAAAAUGAGCUUAGCCCCUGGUGUUGUGUUGGAACUUCAGAUGCUUGCAGACACUUCAUGAAUGCUCUGUGACACUCAGAAUAGGCUAUUCCCAACAGAAGAGCUUGAACAAUGCUGCAUUUGCAUCAGGUUCAAAUGAGCGAGAGGAACAUUUGGCUAAAAUAUUUGAUGAAAUUCUACUGCAGGUGUUUCCAAAGUUUCCGUAUGACCCAUCAUUUAACGAAGCAACAGCAGUCAGAUCCAUUACAAAGACAGACAUGAGAAAAGGAACCAGCAUUGCUUGGAAUUCUCCUAAACCAGAAUAUUUCCUUGGCAGUGUGGACAAAAUUCCUGAUAAAGAGAUGGGGUUUCACUGUGUUAGCCAGGAUGGUCUCGAUCUCCUGACCUCAUGAUCCGCCCGCCUCGGCCUCCCAAAGUGCUGGGAUUACAGGCGUGAACCACCAUGCCCGGCCCAGAAUGUCCUUUCUUUUCGAAGCGGAGUAAUAUUCCAUUAUCACCUUUCAGAGGAGAAGAAUUUUAAAGAAUCCUGUCUGUUCGACAGGGAUUUAAGAGAGCAGUUAACUACUAUAGAUAAAGAAACACUUCAAGGAGCAGCUAAACCAGAUGCUCACUUUAGGACUAUGCCCUGCGGGCAGCUUCUGCACUUCCUGCAGAGGAACACCAUCAUCGCCGCCGUCUCAGGGGUGGCCAUCCUCAUGGCCAUCGUGCUGUUGCUGCUUGGGUUGGCCUCAUACAUCAGGAAGAAACAGCCAUCAUCUCCUCUGGCAAACACGACAUAUAAUAUUUUUAUAAUGGAUGGAAAGACAUGGUGGCACAAUUCUGAAGAAAAAAAUUUCACAAAACUUGCAAAAAAACAGAAACAGUUGAAGAGCAGCUCCUGUGUCUAAGCCAGGUCGUGGGGCCGUCAAACCAGGACUUGAAACCACAAUGCGAGGACAUUCUCCAUCUGCGCACCACAGGGAGGCAAUUCCAUUUCUGCCCGGGAGGUGUAUUCUACAAAAACGUCUGCUUCCCAUCCCAAUUUGAAUGGACCAAGAAAAACUGCUUUACCAUAGGACACUUGUGGCAAUAUGGCACCGAUGGCUGGCGUCGGUGAACCCGACAGACUAUGGAUUUAUCAUUUAAUAAAGCAUUGAUUCAUUUUUUCAGUCAUUCAUUGAACAGAUAUUAAUAGACCACCUCACAUGCUGACAAUAUCAAAAUACAAUGAGGAAACUAACAGUGACCCAGGCAUGCAUUCUUCCCCGAGCAAGAUCACAGUCCAUGGUGUGAGCACAACCAUACUAAAUAGCUUUUAUGGGAGGUGGGAGUACAGAAAGUAUUAUAUCUGCAAAGAAACUGCUAAGAAUUGUGGGAGCGCCCCAGGAGGUGAUUUCCUGCUUGCGUGACCAGCACAAAGAAAUGGGGUAAUUGAGAGUGUCAUGAAGUGGGGUUAUUUAUUUAUUGAGUC
rnacentral:lncRNA from 1 species